rnacentral:sRNA from 1 species
UUCCAGCGUUAGGGAUUGAAGUGGAAAUCCUUUUGAUCUCGCCUUAUGCGUUAUCAAAAGAUUGCAACGGAAAGCCCGACCGAGG